CGGCCAGACUCCUACGGGAGGCAGCAGUGGGGAAUAUUGCACAAUGGGCGAAAGCCUGAUGCAGCAACGCCGCGUGAAGGAAGAAGGUCUUCGGAUCGUAAACUUCUGUCCUUGGGGAAGAUAAUGACGGUACCCUUGGAGGAAGCCCCGGCUAACUACGUGCCAGCAGCCGCGGUAAUACGUAGGGGGCAAGCGUUAUCCGGAAUUACUGGGCGUAAAGGGCGCGUAGGUGGGCGCUUAAGUCAGGUGUGAAAACUCCGGGCUCAACCUGGAGACUGCACUUGAAACUGGGUGUCUUGAGGGCAGGAGAGGAAAGUGGAAUUCCUAGUGUAGCGGUGAAAUGCGUAGAUAUUAGGAGGAACACCAGUGGCGAAGGCGACUUUCUGGACUGUACCUGACGCUGAGGCGCGAAAGCGUGGGUAGCGAACGGGAUUAGAUACCCCGGUAC
rnacentral:rRNA from 1 species